UGGCGGACGGGUGAGUAACGCGUGGGGAACCUGCCCUGUACCGGGGGAUAGCAGCCGGAAACGGCUGAUAAUACCGCAUAAGCGCACGAAUGUCGCAUGACAUGGUGUGAAAAACUCCGGUGGUAUAGGAUGGACCCGCGUCUGAUUAGCCAGUUGGUGGGGUAAAAGCCUACCAAAGCGAAGAUCAGUAGCCGAGUUUAGAGACUGACCGGCCACAUUGGGACUGAGACACGGCCCAGACUCCUACGGGAGGCAGCAGCC
rnacentral:rRNA from 1 species